CGCUGACGUCACAGGAACAGACGCUUUAACGGAGCACUCGGGAAUUGAAACAGCGCCGUUUAACGGAAGCCAGAGACGGCACAAGCAAAGACUAUGUCUCAAUGACAACAAAGAGCUGUGCCAAAGAUGACAAAAAACGCUGCAUUAGACAUGGCAGGCCAGUAGAUGUCGAUGUGUCAGGAUACACACAUUGGAAGUGAGAUUUCACACUUAAGGAGCAAGAGUCUACUC